rnacentral:rRNA from 1 species
CCUACGGGGGGCAGCAGUGAGGAAUAUUGGUCAAUGGACGAGAGUCUGAACCAGCCAAGCAGCGUGAAGGAUGACUGCCCUAUGGGUUGUAAACUUCUUUUAUAUGGGAAUAAAAUGUUCCACGUGUGGGAUUUUGUAUGUACCAUAUGAAUAAGGAUCGGCUAACUCCGUGCCAGCAGCCGCGGUAAUACGGAGGAUCCGAGCGUUAUCCGGAUUUAUUGGGUUUAAAGGGGGCGUAGGGGGAUUGUUAAGUCAGUUGUGAAAGUUUGCGGCUCAACCGUAAAAUUGCAGUUGAAACUGGCAGUCUUGAGUACAGUAGAGGUAGGCGGAAUGCGUGGUGUAGCGGUGAAAUGCUUAGAUAUCACGAAGAACUCCGAUUGCGAAGGCAGUUCACUGGACUGCAACUGACACUGAGGCUCGAAAGUGUGGGUAUCAAACAGGAUUAGAUACCCCAGUAGUC